rnacentral:rRNA from 1 species
AGGACGAACGCUGGCGGCGUGCUUAACACAUGCAAGUCGAGCGGAAAGGCCCUUCGGGGUACUCGAGCGGCGAACGGGUGAGUAACACGUGAGCAACCUGCCCCUAGCUCUGGGAUAGCUCCGGGAAACCGGGAUUAAUACCAGAUACGACCACUUUAGACAUCUGUCGUGGUGGAAAGGAUUCCGGCUAGGGAUGGGCUCGCGGCCUAUCAGCUUGUUGGUGGGGUAACGGCCUACCAAGGCGACGACGGGUA